rnacentral:rRNA from 1 species
CCUACGGGAGGCAGCAGUGAGGAAUAUUGGUCAAUGGACGUAGGUCUGAACCAGCCAAGUAGCGUGCAGGAUGACGGCCCUAUGGGUUGUAAACUGCUUUUGCCGGGGAAUAAAGUGCGGUACGUGUGCCGUUUUGUAUGUACCCGGAGAAUAAGGACCGGCUAAUUCCGUGCCAGCAGCCGCGGUAAU